CUGCGUCGACAUUCAUGUCGUCAUCUAGGCUGGAUGCCUUCCCCUUCCCCUUCCCCUUGAUGUCGCCAAUGCUCCUCGUCAGGUCAUCGGGAUCCUCGUGUCUGCCCUUCACGUUAUUAUUCUGGGUCUGGCUCUCCAGACUAUUCUUCAGGGCCAUCUCCAGCAUUUCCUCCUCAGUCAUUGUUUCGAGCUUGCGCUCCGGUUUUACCUCCGGCUUCCGCCUGGCAACGGGAUUCCGCACAGUGUGGUCUAAGCUGUAGCGAUCGAGGAACUCGUGGACUUGCAUCAGGAAAUCCGAUGGUUUAAUAACGGGGGGUCCAGUCCAUGCUUUCACUUGCUCGCCCGUCCGUGGGUCCACGAUUGCAAUAUGUGGGUAGUUGUCUUGAACGUCGACACCGGGAAAGUAAUAUUGGAUAUAUUGCGAACCGCGCGGGUCGUCCUUGGAGUAUUGUAGAAAGAUGAAAUGUUCUUUUACCGUGUCCAUGACUCCUUGGUUUUUCCAAAGAUCUCUAUUUAGGACUUGGCAAUCGAAAACAGAGGCGUCCUGAAUGUUGACCAGCAGCCACCUCAUAUUUUCCCGGCCUUCGUCCCGCGCCAGGUCCCAGGGGAGUUUCGACAUGAUCUCAAAGGGAGGUCGGUACAUUUCAGCAAGCAUACUGGACUUGCUAGAGGCGUUUGAGGCGCCACCGGUAGCCUCUGCCAAGGAUGCGCGAUGUGAUGACGGAUCGUCCUGGUUCCAGAUCGAUGAUGAAAUGGGCCUUUGGUUGAAGAUACCUGGUCGGCCUAGGUUAAGCUAGAUAUCAGCCGACGAACAAUCAUAUAACUUUACGCACAAAGGGAAAAAUUGGGCCAUCAUUGAUAUCAAACCCCAAAUCCGCACCAGGCUCGACAAGUGUUUCUGUCGUGCGGGCUAAGGGAGCGCGUACACCGCUUUCAUCCGCGGGACCGAAACCCUCAGCACCAGCGUAAAAUUCCUCUUGCAAACGGCGGGCCAUGGCUUCGUCAUCGUCAAAUGUGGAAAGCCCGGCGGGUUGUGGUGUGCGACUGGCAGAGGAAGCUGAUUGAUGGGAUGUCCGUACGGGGAUAUUCGUGCCUCCUUCAUGUGUAUAGCUGUAAUCAUCGUCGGAGUCCAGAUGGACGACGCCGUGUUCGUCUUCGUAGCCUGGUGGGCGUGAGGGCCGUGAGGGCCGUGACGACGGAGGAGGAGGAGCAAGGGGAGGAGAACGAGAAACGGGGAAUUGAGGCUGCGGAGGAGUGGAUUCCGGUUGGAUAUCAGCACCUCCAUUCUCGAAGUACAGCUGCAUAGCCGUUUCGAGGUUGCCGUCGGUCAGCUGCAGAUACCGGGCAGCAACCUCUGGGGAGGAACCCGUGAUCUCGGUGAACCCUGCCACCGCAGCGUCCGCCAUGGCUGAGGGGGAUGUCGGAUUUAUCUGGAUCUAUGCGAUCUGGGCGUAUUUUAAGAGGAGUUUUUGGGCGGAUACGAGGGGAAUAGGGGAGGAUAGGAUGUACGAGGUGGGUUGAGGAAGGAGAAGUAACGAGUUAAGAGCAGGCUGCCUGUUUAUGGGGAGGGGCAUUCAAGGCCCAGGGAAGCAGCACGGAGGAACACAGCAAGAGUAGAAGCAGUAAAAUUUAGCAGACAAAGGGAUAGAAAAUCGGGAGAAUCAAGGCAUUGCUGUCUAGUGCGAAGCUUCUAGGGUCUACGGCAGUUGGCAGGAGUAAAAAAGGGGGACUGGGAGCUGGUGUGAAGAAAUGAAGUUUCACGCAUCCGCAAAGAUUUGUCUGGUUUCUAAGGCAGAUGAGCAGUGACGCUAUUGUGGAUGAAUCAGCAGAGGGGACCGGCAUCCGGAUCAUCAUUAUUCCUGCCGCCGGGUAAACUUGCAGCAGUUGAAUAGUGCAUACGGGAGG
rnacentral:sRNA from 1 species